rnacentral:rRNA from 1 species
CCGGCGAUGUCCGAAUGGGGAAACCCAGUGCAAUUCGUUGCACUAUCGUUAACUGAAUACAUAGGUUAACGAGGCGAACCGGGGGAACUGAAACAUCUAAGUACCCCGAGGAAAAGAAAUCAACCGAGAUUCCCCCAGUAGCGGCGAGCGAACGGGGAGCAGCCCAGAGUCUGAAUCAGCUUGUGUGUUAGUGGAACGGUCUGGAAAGUCCGACGGUACAGGGUGAUAGUCCCGUACACCAAAAUGCACAGGCUGUGAACUCGAAGAGUAGGGCGGGACACGUGGUAUCCUGUCUGAAUAUGGGGGGACCAUCCUCCAAGGCUAAAUACUCCUGACUGACCGAUAGUGAACCAGUACCGUGAGGGAAAGGCGAAAAGAACCCCGGCGAGGGGAGUGAAAAAGAACCUGAAACCGUGUACGUACAAGCAGUGGGAGCACCUUCGGGUGUGACUGCGUACCUUUUGUAUAAUGGGUCAGCGACUUAUAUUCUGUAGCAAGGUUAACCGUAUAGGGGAGCCGCAGGGAAACCGAGUCUUAACUGGGCGUUAAGUUGCAGGGUAUAGACCCGAAACCCGGUGAUCUAGCCAUGGGCAGGUUGAAGGUUGGGUAACACUAACUGGAGGACCGAACCGACUAAUGUUGAAAAAUUAGCGGAUGACUUGUGGCUGGGGGUGAAAGGCCAAUCAAACCGGGAGAUAGCUGGUUCUCCCCGAAAGCUAUUUAGGUAGCGCCUCGUGAACUCAUCUUCGGGGGUAGAGCACUGUUUCGGCUAGGGGGUCAUCCCGACUUACCAACCCGAUGCAAACUACGAAUACCGAAGAAUGUUAUCACGGGAGACACACGGCGGGUGCUAACGUCCGUCGUGAAGAGGGAAACAACCCAGACCGCCAGCUAAGGUCCCAAAGUCAUGGUUAAGUGGGAAACGAUGUGGGAAGGCACAGACAGCCAGGAUGUUGGCUUAGAAGCAGCCAUCAUUUAAAGAAAGCGUAAUAGCUCACUGGUCGAGUCGGCCUGCGCGGAAGAUGUAACGGGGCUAAACCAUGCACCGAAGCUGCGGCAGCGACACUAUGUGUUGUUGGGUAGGGGAGCGUUCUGUAAGCCUGCGAAGGUGUGCUGUGAGGCAUGCUGGAGGUAUCAGAAGUGCGAAUGCUGACAUAAGUAACGAUAAAGCGGGUGAAAAGCCCGCUCGCCGGAAGACCAAGGGUUCCUGUCCAACGUUAAUCGGGGCAGGGUGAGUCGACCCCUAAGGCGAGGCCGAAAGGCGUAGUCGAUGGGAAACAGGUUAAUAUUCCUGUACUUGGUGUUACUGCGAAGGGGGGACGGAGAAGGCUAUGUUAGCCGGGCGACGGUUGUCCCGGUUUAAGCAUGUAGGCUGGUUGUCCAGGCAAAUCCGGAUAAUCAAGGCUGAGGUGUGAUGACGAGGCACUACGGUGCUGAAGUAACAAAUGCCCUGCUUCCAGGAAAAGCCUCUAAGCAUCAGGUAACAUCAAAUCGUACCCCAAACCGACACAGGUGGUCAGGUAGAGAAUACCAAGGCGCUUGAGAGAACUCGGGUGAAGGAACUAGGCAAAAUGGUGCCGUAACUUCGGGAGAAGGCACGCUGGUGUGUAGGUGAAGUCCCUGCGGAUGGAGCUGAGACCAGUCGAAGAUACCAGCUGGCUGCAACUGUUUAUUAAAAACACAGCACUGUGCAAACACGAAAGUGGACGUAUACGGUGUGACGCCUGCCCGGUGCCGGAAGGUUAAUUGAUGGGGUUAUCCGUAAGGAGAAGCUCUUGAUCGAAGCCCCGGUAAACGGCGGCCGUAACUAUAACGGUCCUAAGGUAGCGAAAUUCCUUGUCGGGUAAGUUCCGACCUGCACGAAUGGCGUAAUGAUGGCCAGGCUGUCUCCACCCGAGACUCAGUGAAAUUGAACUCGCUGUGAAGAUGCAGUGUACCCGCGGCAAGACGGAAAGACCCCGUGAACCUUUACUAUAGCUUGACACUGAACAUUGAGCCUUGAUGUGUAGGAUAGGUGGGAGGCUUUGAAGCGUGGACGCCAGUCUGCGUGGAGCCAACCUUGAAAUACCACCCUUUAAUGUUUGAUGUUCUAACGUUGGCCCCUUACCGGGGUUGCGGACAGUGUCUGGUGGGUAGUUUGACUGGGGCGGUCUCCUCCCAAAGCGUAACGGAGGAGCACGAAGGUUAGCUAAUCCUGGUCGGACAUCAGGAGGUUAGUGCAAUGGCAUAAGCUAGCUUGACUGCGAGCGUGACGGCGCGAGCAGGUGCGAAAGCAGGUCAUAGUGAUCCGGUGGUUCUGAAUGGAAGGGCCAUCGCUCAACGGAUAAAAGGUACUCCGGGGAUAACAGGCUGAUACCGCCCAAGAGUUCAUAUCGACGGCGGUGUUUGGCACCUCGAUGUCGGCUCAUCACAUCCUGGGGCUGAAGUAGGUCCCAAGGGUAUGGCUGUUCGCCAUUUAAAGUGGUACGCGAGCUGGGUUUAGAACGUCGUGAGACAGUUCGGUCCCUAUCUGCCGUGGGCGCUGGAGAAUUGAGGGGGGCUGCUCCUAGUACGAGAGGACCGGAGUGGACGCAUCACUGGUGUUCGGGUUGUCAUGCCAAUGGCACUGCCCGGUAGCUAAAUGCGGAAGAGAUAAGUGCUGAAAGCAUCUAAGCACGAAACUUGCCCCGAGAUGAGUUCUCCCUGAGACUUUAAGUCUCCUGAAGGAACGUU